AUUGUUUGGUGGCGAUAGCGAAGAGGUCACACCCGUUCCCAUACCGAACACGGAAGUUAAGCUCUUCAGCGCCGAUGGUAGUCGGGGGUUUCCCCCUGUGAGAGUAGGACGCCGCCAAGCAAU
rnacentral:rRNA from 1 species